UGGGUCGGCUGGACGGUCGCGUCACGGGUUCGCCCGUGCCGAGGAACGUCCGGGCUCCACAGGGCAGGACGGUGGGUAACGCCCACCCGGAGCAAUCCGCGAGACAGUGCCACAGAGAGCAGACCGCCCGCGCUUCACGGCGCGGGUAAGGGUGAAAGGGUGGUGUAAGAGACCACCGGGGUCGUGGUGACACGACCCGCGAGGUAAACCUCGUCCGGAGCAAGGCCAGACAGGGGAUGACGACGCGGCUCGCCGAGUCCCCGGGUAGGCCGCUGGAGCGGCACGGCAACGUGUCGCCGAGAGAGAUGACCGUCCACGGGGCUCACGCCCCCGGACAGAACCCGGCGUACAGGCCGGCCCAUUCG
rnacentral:RNase_P_RNA from 3 species